GUCUACAUCCAUGCCACCCUGAACAAGCCCGAUCCCAUCUGAUCUUAGAAGCUAAGCAGGGCUGGGCCUGGUUAGUACUUGAAUGGGAGACCACCUAGGAAGACCAGGUGCUGUAGGCG
rnacentral:rRNA from 1 species